rnacentral:rRNA from 1 species
GACGAACGCUGGCGGCGUGCUUAACACAUGCAAGUCGAACGGAAAGGCCCUGCUUUUGUGGGGUGCUCGAGUGGCGAACGGGUGAGUAACACGUGAGUAACCUGCCCUUGACUUUGGGAUAACUUCAGGAAACUGGGGCUAAUACCGGAUAGGAGCUCCUGCUGCAUGGUGGGGGUUGGAAAGUUUCGGCGGUUGGGGAUGGACUCGCGGCUUAUCAGCUUGUUGGUGGGGUAGUGGCUUACCAAGGCUUUGACGGGUAGCCGGCCUGAGAGGGUGACCGGCCACAUUGGGACUGAGAUACGGCCCAGACUCCUACGGGAGGCAGCAGUGGGGAAUAUUGCACAAUGGGCGGAAGCCUGAUGCAGCAACGCCGCGUGCGGGAGGACGGCCUUCGGGUUGUAAACCGCUUUCGCCUGUGACGAAGCGUAAGGGACGGGAAUGGGUAAAGAAGCACCGGCUAACUACGU